UACGGAGGAUCCAAGCGUUAUCCGGAUUUAUUGGGUUUAAAGGGUGCGUAGGCGGCUUUUUAAGUCAGGGGUGAAAGACGGUGGCUCAACCAUCGCAGUGCCUUUGAUACUGAAGAGCUUGAUUAAACUUGAGGUAGGCGGAAUGUGACAAGUAGCGGUGAAAUGCAUAGAUAAUGUCACAGAACACCGAUUGCGAAGGCAGCUUACUAAGGUUUCAAUGACGCUGAGGCACGAAAGCGUGGGGAUCAAACAGG
rnacentral:rRNA from 1 species